rnacentral:lncRNA from 1 species
AAGAAUCAAUCUUCUUCGAAAGUGUCUCCGUCUGUGCUGACAAUUCAUCGAUUCCAUGAAUCCAUGUCGCACUUGGUUGAGUCAUUCUCUUUUAAGGCCAAUGGUAUUCAUAGUUUGACAUGGUAACUAAAAAAGAAGUAAAAUAGAAAUAGAAAUAAAUAAAAAAUAAAAAAUAAAAAACAUUUAUACUGAGAUUAAUUUGAUUGAAAUUAAUAUUGGCAAAAAUUAUUAAAUUAAUUCCUCAACAACAACACUAAAUUUGUUUUGCCUAAAUCUAUACUAGCAAAAUACGCAAGUAUACGCAGUCCACAAGUAAUAUAAUGAUAAGUAGAGAAUCAUUCCCACUGAGAAAAAAAUUGCAAUUUAUACUAACAACUACCAAUUUUGUAUUAACUCGAUUUUAUUAAAUAAUUGAUUAAGCUUGUGAAUUUUAUAGAAAUAAAUAAUUAAUUAAAUUAAUACUAACUACCACAAGAUUAAAAACAGAUUAUGGAGAUUUAAGACUAUAACUUCACAUAUUGCUUCACUUAUAUCAAUAUAAUUCCUGUUAAGUUAUGCUAACUAUUUCAUAAUCUUAAUCGAGAACUCAUCAAUAUUUAUGACCAUCUCUCGAUGUACCAUACACAAAUCAACUUAAAUCCACAGAUGAUAAAAUUAAGGUGAACACUCUAGCUAACUAAUUCCCUAUAUCUGUAUAUGAAUGACAAUUAAAAGGAUUUGAAGCACAGGUUGCCUAUCAGAUUACGUGCAGUGUAUAGAUAUUUCUGUAUCCUAGACACAACUCAUGAAUUCCAUCACCAUGCAGAAAAUACAAUCACAUGCUAUUAUGAACAGAUCUAAAUCCAUAAUCCAUCUCUCAAGUUUAUAUAGAUUAUAACGGUAAUUGUUGAUCAAACAAUUAAGCAAUUAAACACAAACCAUAAUAGAAAAUCCAAUGAUUGUUAACAAUAAUUAACAAGGAAGCAUAUCAGUCAAAGCUAUGCAAUAAGAUCCAUUGUAAUCUUAAAAUAGAAUUUAGUUCAUUGUUGUCUGUUUUAUAUAAUGAAAAUUCACGCAAGUAUACAUGGUUAAUCAAGUAAUAUAGAAGUAAGAAAGGUUUUCGAAUCCACAAAGAACGAAUACUAAUAACUAUCCCAAUUAUUAGUUUAUUACCAAUUUAAUUUAAUUAAACAAUCACUAAUGUUAAGUUUGUAAUUAUUUUGAAGUAAAACUAAAAUUAAACUAAACUAACAAGACUUGAUUACCAGAUGAUUUAAGUCUAGGAAUACAAUUUCCUCAAUUACUUUGCAAUAACUGCCUUACACUAUUUUCACUUUAUUUAAUUUAAAGAGUUGUUAACUAGGAUUGCCUAUAAAUUUAUUAACAUUUGUCAAUGAUUAAUAAUAAGACCUAUUUCAGUUAUGUUUCUAUUUUCAUGCAAGAAACUUAAAAUAGAUUCAUUAAACAUAAACUCCUACUCAAAUUACACAUGUCAUACAUGUAUUUUCAUCUCAUACACUGUUAUGUUACUCUCAAAAGAAUCAACAAAUUCAUAUGUUAUUGUAUUUAGAUCUAAUCUUAAAUUUCCUCUUUCAAUUCCAUCUAAGAUAUCAAAUUAAUUGUUGGUCACAUAAUUAUUAAAUUAAGCAUAGAAUAUAAUAAAUAACUCCAAAGUGAAAAUAAGGGUAAUUGAAUUAUUGCAUCAUAAAAAGUUCCAUUGUAUUCCUAAUAGGAGAAUUAGUUCAUCAUAAUAAUAGAAACCGACAGAAUAAAAAUAAAUAACAUUCCAAGUACAGAUAAUGAAUUAAGGAAAAGAAGAAAAACUCUAUCUAGAAUCUCCGGUCUCUAUAGCUUCAAUCUCCGUAUCUUCGUGUUCUCCAAGUUUCGUGCGGGAAACUAACCUUCAAAUUUGUCCCUGCUUUUGUUACCCAUUGAGUGCCCGGCUUACACAUUUGCUUUAUCAAUCUGUCCAAAUUGGGAAAGAAGUCCUCAUAUCGAUUGUCAAGAGUGGGUGUUUCCAAUCCAAAAUACUCAUUAAUGAAGUCUCUAUCGAACACCACUAGUUUACCUCUAACCAUCACCACAUGCCCAACCCUCUCGAUCGUAUUAGCAUAAAACUCCUUAAUAACAGAGAUUACGAGGCAUAAGGCUGCCCGACUAGCUUAAACCAAUUACGUUUGAUAAUCUUCUCUAUCAUAGCCCCAUCUAAGUUGGAAUUCGGCCUUAAUCCCCGUUCCAAUACCAAUAUUUUCUUAGCUAAGACUGUGUUGAACCACUCUUCUGCCUCCGCACUACCAAACCUUGACCCAUCAAAUUGUUAACUUACACUAGAGCUAUCACCCCUCUGCCUUUUGGAUGACAUGAUGUAACAGAACAAAUGUAUUUGCUCAUAAAGGGACUGUACUCAGUGAUUCAGACCAAUUAUCGAACACUUGGCAGACGACUACCAAUCUCCCGCAAAUAUACCCCUUUGUAUCAAUUCAAAACCAUAAAUACAGACAACAUUAAUCAAAGACUUUGGCCAACACAAACCCAACGCAAUCACAACACAAUAUAAUACUACGCUAACAAAAUUGAACACUGAACUAAGUUAUGGAAUCUGAAAUGCACAAUGUUUGGAUUUUAUUACCUUAGUUGAAGAGUUUAAACCCCAAUAUUGAUGAACUUUAACCUUGAUGCUUAUUUCCUAAGCCCUUGAUGUAAGAGAUGACUGGAUAUGGGAUUAAGGGUUUUUAAUUUGGAUGCAGAAUAAAGGUUCAGAUUUGGGAAUGAGAGAUUUGGGGGAAAUAAUGGUUUGUUUGGAUUAGAGUUGGAUUUGGAUUAGGCUUUAGGGGUAGAGAUUAGGAAGUGUUUGGAGUAGAUUAGGAGUGUAUAGAGGGAUAAAGAUUAGGAUUUUAAGAGAGAUUAGAUGUUUUGUAUGUGUGAUAAGGCCCGAAACCCUUAUUUUAUUUCUGAGUUGGCCGCCCAGCACGCCCCACACUCGUUUGUGGUCUGGAAUGGCACGCCCCGCGCUGUUUAUACAGAAUUAUUGAUGGUGUAGCGGGCCACGCGCCAUGUUGCAAAGGCAGGUCGGUUGAAA